rnacentral:rRNA from 1 species
AGAGUUUGAUCCUGGCUCAGAGCGAACGCUGGCGGCAGGCUUAACACAUGCAAGUCGAACGGUCCUUCGGGAUAGUGGCGGACGGGUGAGUAACACGUGGGAACGUACCCUUAGGUUCGGAACAACACAGGGAAACUUGUGCUAAUACCGGAUAAGCCCUUCGGGGGAAAGAUUUAUCGCCUUUGGAGCGGCCCGCGUCUGAUUAGCUUGUUGGUGAGGUAAUGGCUCACCAAGGCUACGAUCAGUAGCUGGUCUGAGAGGAUGGCCAGCCACACUGGGACUGAGACACGGCCCAGACUCCUACGGGAGGCAGCAGUGGGGAAUCUUGCGCAAUGGGCGAAAGCCUGACGCAGCCAUGCCGCGUGGAUGAUGAAGGUCUUAGGAUUGUAAAAUCCUUUCACCGGGGACGAUAAUGACGGUACCCGGAGAAGAAGCCCCGGCUAACUUCGUGCCAGCAGCCGCGGUAAUACGAAGGGGGCUAGCGUUGCUCGGAAUUACUGGGCGUAAAGGGCGCGUAGGCGGACAGUUAAGUUGGGGGUGAAAGCCCGGGGCUCAACCUCGGAAAUGCCUUCAAUACUGGCUGUCUUGAGUACGGGAGAGGUGAGUGGAACUCCGAGUGUAGAGGUGAAAUUCGUAGAUAUUCGGAAGACACCAGUGGCGAAGCGACUCACUGGCCCGUUACUGACGCUGAGGCGCGAAAGCGUGG